rnacentral:rRNA from 1 species
CUACGGGCGGCUCCAGUAGGGAAUUUUGCGCAAUGGGCGAAAGCCUGACGCAGCAACGCCGCGUGAUCGAUGAAGCUCCUAGGAGUGUAAAGAUCUGUCAUAAGGGAAGAAAAGUUUUAAUAUUAAUAGUAUUAGAAUUUGACGGUACCUUAUAAGAAAGCACCGGCUAACUUCGUGCCAGCAGCCGCGGUAAUACGAGGGGUGCAAGCGUUGUCCGGAAUCAUUGGGCGUAAAGGGUGCGUAGGCGUCCGAGAAAGUUAUUUGUUAAAUCCUCCGGCUUAACCGGAGUUCUGCAAGUAAAACUACUCGGAUAGAGUUUAAGAGAGGAAAAUGGAAUUCCUGGUGUAGCGGUGACAUGCGUAGAUAUCAGGAGGAACAUCUAUGGCGAAGGCAGUUUUCUGGCUUAAAACUGACGCUGAGGCACGAAAGCGUGGGGAGCAAACAGGAUUAGAUACCCCCGUAGUC